rnacentral:rRNA from 1 species
UCCUUAGAUGUUCUGGGCCGCACGCGCGCUACACUGAUGCAUUCAACGAGUCUAAAACCUGCUCUGAUAGGGGUGGGUAAUCUUUUGAAUGUGCAUCGUGAUUGGGAUAGAUGAUUGAAAUUUUUCAUCUUCAACGAGGAAUGCCUAGUAAACGCAAGUCAUCAGCUUGCAUUGAUUACGUCCCUGCCCUUUGUACACACCGCCCGUCGCUCCUACCGAUUGAAUGAUCCGAUGAAUAUCAUGGAUUGAGGAUGCAAGUAGGUUCACCUAUCUUCAUCUUCGAGAAGUGAAGUAAAUCUUAUCAUUUAGAGGAAGGAGAAGUCGUAACA